AUUGAACGCUGGCGGCAGGCCUAACACAUGCAAGUCGAGCGAGCGGCGGACGGGUGAGUAAUGUCUGGGAAACUGCCUGAUGGAGGGGGAUAACUACUGGAAACGGUAGCUAAUACCGCAUACCAUCAGAUGUGCCAAGAGGGCAUUAGCUGGGAGGUGGGGUAACGGCUCACCUUGGCGACGAUCCCUAGCUGGUUUGAGAGGCUGUCCAGCACCACUGGAACUGAGACACGGUCCCGACUCCUACGGGAUGCAGUGGUGGGGAAGAUUGCACACUGGGCGCAAGCCUGCUGCAGCCAUGCGGCGUGUGUGAAGAAGGCCGUCGGGUUGUAAAGCACUUUCGGCGGGGAGGCGUUAGCCGCAGAAGAAGCACCGGCUAACUCCGUGCCAGCCGCCGCGGUAAUU
rnacentral:rRNA from 1 species